rnacentral:rRNA from 1 species
UACGUAGGGUGCAAGCGUUGUCCGGAAUUAUUGGGCGUAAAGAGCUCGUAGGCGGUUUGUCGCGUCUGCUGUGAAAUCUUGGGGCUUAACCCUGAGCUUGCAGUGGGUACGGGCAGACUAGAGUGCGGUAGGGGAGACUGGAAUUCCUGGUGUAGCGGUGAAAUGCGCAGAUAUCAGGAGGAACACCGGUGGCGAAGGCGGGUCUCUGGGCCGUAACUGACGCUGAGGAGCGAAAGCGUGGGGAGCGAACAGG